GUUAAUCAGCUAAUUUGAAAGUUCUCUGAGUUGGUAGCUUUAGUUGAACAUAAAUCCUGGCUCAGCGGCUGCAGGUGUGCCUGGACCCCUUCUGGAGCUUCUUUGGACAUUCUGUCUCCUUCCUUCGGAGUUUCUCUCUUGGUGCCCAGGCUUGAGUGCAAUGACACGAUCUCAGCUCACCACAACCUCCGCCUCCUGGGUUCAAGCGAUUCUCCUGCCUCAGCCUCCCAAGUAGCUGGGAUUACAG
rnacentral:lncRNA from 1 species